ACCUGACCGACAGCGCCGGCGUCAUGUACGUCCUGCGCAAGAAGCCGCCCGGCAAGCUGCUGCCCUCGGCGCAUCAGGUGGACCGUGAAUAUCGCGUCAUCAAGGCGUUGUCGGAUCACACCGACGUGCCGGUGCCGAAGCCCUAUGCGCUCUGUCAGGACGAUGCGGUGAUCGGCACGGCGUUCUACCUCAUGGAAUUCCUGCCCGGCCGCAUCCUGGCCGACCCCAAGAUG
rnacentral:misc_RNA from 1 species